UGUAUGUGCGUGUGUGCGUGUGUGUGUGUGUAUGUGCGUGUGUGUGUGUGUAUGUGCGUGUGGUCACGGGUGUGUGUGUGCGUGUGUGUGUGUGUGUGUGUGUGUGUAUGGGUAUGGGUAUGGGUGUGUGUGUGUGUGUGUGUGUGUGUGUGUGUGUGUGUGUGUGGUCACUGUAGUGUAACAGAGGUUUUUGUACGACGGUUUCAUUAGAAUGUAUCACUGUGGUGGACUUUCGGUGGAGGAACCAAACUCAUCAUCUCCGGUCCCACGGUGAAGCCCUCCGUGUCUCUGCUCCCUCCCUCCUCUCUGCAGCUGUCUGAGGGAUCGGCCUCGCUGCUCUGCCUGCUGUCUGCCUACUCUCCACAGGGGGCGCUGGUGAGCUGGACGGUGGACGGCUCAGAGGUGAAGGACGGGGUUCUGACCAGCGCGGAAGAACAGAAGAAGGACGGUUACACACGCAGCAGCACCCUGACCCUCAGCAAAGCACUCUGGGAAAAGGGGGAGGAGUUUGUCUGUAAGGUCUCCCAUGACGGCGUCAAUCAUCCGGUCACGUUCAGAAAGAGCCAGUGUGAAGGCUAACAGCUCCAAGAUAGAAUUUAACACUGAGCUGCUUACACAUCCAUCUACAAUAGAGUUUCAAUUCUACACAAUGCUGACAUUUCUGUCUUUACUCUCUUCACUGUCCUGUUGCUCUUCCUGUAGUUUUGCUCUGCUGAAAUAAAGCUUGAUUUUGGA